GAAGCGGCAACAGCUCAAAUUUGAAAUCUGGCCUCUUCGGGGUCCGAGUUGUAAUUUGUAGAGGAUGUUUCGGGUACCGCCUCGGUUUAAAUUUCUUGGAACAGAAUGUCAGAGAGGGUGAGAAUCCCGUCUUGGACCGGCGGUAGGGCCCAUGUGAAACUCCUUCGACAAGUCGAGUUGUUUGGGAAUGCAGCUCAAAAUGGGUGGUAAAUUUCAUCUAAAGCUAAAUAUUGGCCAGAGACCGAUAGCGCACAAGUAGAGUGAUCGAAAGAUGAAAAGAACUUUGAAAAGAGAGUUAAACAGUAUGUGAAAUUGUUGAAAGGGAAGCGCUUACAACCAGACUUGAGCGCGGCGGUUCCCCCUUCCUUUUGGUUGGGUUACUCCGCCGUGUCCAGGCCAACAUCGGUUCUGGGGGUCGGUUAAAGGCCUGGGGAAUGUAUCUACUCCUU
rnacentral:rRNA from 1 species